UACAGAGGGUGCGAGCGUUAAUCGGAAUUACUGGGCGUAAAGCGCACGUAGGCGGCGACGUAAGGCGGGUGUGAAAGCCCCGGGCUCAACCUGGGAAUUGCAUUCGAGACUGCAUUGCUGGAGUACGGAAGAGGAAGGCGGAAUUCCCGGUGUAGCGGUGAAAUGCGUAGAUAUCGGGAGGAACAUCAGUGGCGAAGGCGGCCUUCUGGUCCAGUACUGACACUCAAGUGCGAAAGCGUGGGGAGCAAACAGG
rnacentral:rRNA from 1 species